rnacentral:rRNA from 1 species
UACGUAGGGUGCAAGCGUUAAUCGGAAUUACUGGGCGUAAAGCGUGCGCAGGCGGUUUUGUAAGUCUGUUGUGAAAUCCCCGGGCUCAACCUGGGAAUGGCAAUGGAGACUGCAAGGCUAGAGUUUGGCAGAGGGGGGGUAGAAUUCCACGUGUAGCAGUGAAAAUGCGUAGAUAUGUGGAGGAACACCGAUGGCGAAGGCAGCCCCCCUGGGUCAAAAACUGACGCUCAUGCACGAAAGCGUGGGGAGCAAACAGG